UCCACCUGAUACACCUCUCACGAAUGCUCCACCAAUCAUAGUGUCUUGACACCUCUCCAGACCUAGCUCUUGGAUAACUUCAAUAGCACGCUGCUCCUUUUGCUCCCUUGUGAGAGUUUUAGGUAGACGCAAACGAGCAGCGUAGGUUAGCGUUUCUUUAACCGUAAGAUGAGGAAACAGAACAUCGUCUUGAGUCACAAACCCAAUCCUGCCAUCAAACCAGAAAAAAAAAAUUGAGUCUCCAUAUAUACAAUAAUACAAGAGAGUUUAGGGUUUAGGGCAAAAAGAUACUUACUUGCUUUUCAAGUAUUUAGAGUAAGGCUUGUCGUUGUAAGUAACAGAGCCUCCACUGGCGGAUUGAGAGAUUCGGCCACCGAGUAAGCUAAGAAGAGUUGUUUUGCCACUCCCUGAAGGACCCAUGAGUGAUGUUGUCUUGUGUGCAUGUGUUUUUGAAGAAAAAAAAAAGAAUAAAGAACUCUUCCUUUAACCUUUCCAUAGUUUAAGAGCUUUAUCAAGACCACCAGAAGCUACUUUCUCACCAUCUGGACUCCAAUCCACAGCCCAAACCUUUCCAACACAAAAAAAAAGAAGAAAAAUUAUGAGAGAAAAGAGUGUAAAUAAAAAAGCAAAACCAACAACUUGAGCUUUGAAGUAGUUUGAUACCUCAUCCUUAUGACCAGGGAGAUCAUGUUUUAGCUUUUUUGUUCCAAUCUCCCAUACCUGUCAAAGUCAAACAUAUUGAGGUUUAUUUGGUAGUUCUACUCUCUACUGUGUUAUCAAAUGUAAAAACAGGAUUUCACCUUGAGAGUUGAAUCUUUGCUGCAACUCAAAAGCAUCCUACUGUCAGGUGACCAACUGAUCUGAUAGACACAGUUAGCGUGGCCUCGGAAUGCUGUAAUAAAUUUUCCUGUGACACCAUCCCAUAGCUUCACAGAUUUAUCGAACGAUGCACUUGCAAUCCAUUGCCCAUUUGGUGAGAAAUACACAUGGUUUACAAGCUGUUUAUUGAGUUGACACCAAACAAAAUGUAAGAGUUCAAAAAUAAAAACAGAAACAAAAAAAAAAAAAAAAGUUUAGUAGCUAGUAGUAACCUGUUGAUGACCAGUACCAACCUGGCUGUAGUAACCAUUUUUUGUUUAGGUUGUAAGCUAACGGAUGGUUCCCAAAGGAUUAUCGUAAAAUCAUCAGAACCAGACACUAAUCUUUCAGGAGAAUCUACUUUCCCUUUUGCUUUGAUGUAUCUUUCAAGUGCAAUCUUACCACACAUAUAGGGAGAGGAUCAGAAUCAGGCUAGAAAAAGACGAGGCAAAGCCAGUAGAAUCAUCAGAAGCUUAUUGUUACCUUUUUCAUUUCUUCAUCUGAACCUGUUACUUGUCUAGUGUUGUCAAACGCUCCUGUCCGAAGAACAUAUUCUGUACUCAAUGAAAGGGAGUUCACCCAACCGGCAUGGUCCUGAAGAAGCAAGUAACUUGAGAAAUGUUAUCUUAAAGUAAAGACCUAGGAGACAAAAAAAAGUUACCUUCAAUAUAUGUUUGAGGAUUCCUUGACCCUGCUGAGUGAUCUCCCACAUCCUUAUGGUACUAUCUUGUGAACUGCACAAUAACAUGUUAACAAGAUAAAACACCAAUAAGAAACAUUUCAGGUUAUUAUAAAAAUGUAUGUACCCUGUGUAUAUAGUUCCAUCACCACCCCAUUUGACACAGGUCACAGCUCGUGUGUGUCCACUGAGGACAAUAAGAGUUCUCUUCAGUGUAAAGUCCCAGAUCCUUGCAUCCCCAUCUUUGCCACAAGUCACAAAUCUCCUGCUUGGAUAACUAAGAUGAGCUGGUUCCCACGCGAUACCACAAAUCCACUUCUUGUGACCCUACGAAAAAUUGAAGAUCUAUCAGUAAACACACACAAAAAAAAACAUAACCAACAAAACAUUUAUAAAGUAAAGAAGAGUUUAACUGAAAGUGCAUUGCCCUGUAAUUCUCCUUUGCUUGGAUCCCAACAACAGACUUUUCCAUCUCUAUCACCGCUCACAAGACACUUUGCAUCUGGUGACCAUGCAACUGCGAGAACAUGUUCCUUGUGCCCUGAACAAACGUUACAGGAACUAUGUUUAUUACAAGAAAUCUAAAUAUAGAUAGACAUCAUUAAAAAGAAAAUCAUAAGACGUUUCGAACCUUUGCAUGUAAACAUUGGAGUUUCAGUGUUGAGAUCCCAAAGCCUUACAGUUUUAUCACCUGAACCACUUGCUAGUUGCUUACCGUCAGGGCUAAACGAAACACAGAGAAUCUCACCCUCAUGAACUAACAAAAGCCAAUCAUAAUCACUCGAACCAUCUCUUCUAAAACUCAAAUACAAAAAUCAACAUUAACUUUAACAUAUAAUAUAUAUAUACCAUCGCUUAUUGUCUGUGAGCAACGGUAAACCGGGCGAAUCCUGAAAACAGCUUGUUGUCGAUAAACAAUCUUCAAAACAUUCUCCACGGACACUAAACCACACAUGUUCAUGUCAAAACAUUAAUAAAAAAUAUACUAAGAUAAUGUUUUCUAUAGAAAACAUAAGAGACCAAACUGCUUUGCUUAUUAUUAGGGUUUUACCGCUAUUUCUCUCCAUGCAAGUUCCCACUGAGACAAGAAGCUCUUCAUCUGAUACAUAGAAGCUGUAAGAUAACUUCUCCUCCUGGAUAUUAUCAAUUUCCCAUGAAGUCAUUUCAAUAUUAGGUUCGGUAAGUAUAAUCAAUAUCAGAUUCGAAAGGAUAGAAGAAUAUACAUUGUUGAGAAACGUAUUGACCAAGUUGGUGAGCUGCAAAUGCCCUGCGUUGUGAGGGAUAUACAUAGCAGAACCUAGUGGAGUUCCUUCUGCGUCUGUUAACAGACACAUCACUGUGUUCAUCGCCAUCUCCGACGCUUCCGGCUCUAUGUUCGACGACAAACUCCGAUGGAAAAUAGACAAAGGCUUUUGCGAUAUAAAUAUAAACCCUAAAAGUAAAAGUUAUUUAUUUAAGUAAAUCCUCCAAAUUAACCCUCUAUUUAUAAAUAAACCCCAAAUUUUCCUUUUGAAGUCUUAUAACCCCUAAAUUACAAUUGCCAACCUAAAUGUUUUCAUGUAACGCCGUUAAUGAUUUAACCACGACGUGGUUAACACGCAUUUAACAUUAGAGAUCUUAAACUGCAAAGGAUUUAACCACAGUGUGGUAUUUUUUUUUUGGUAAGUGGGCUUUAAUUGUUGGUUAGCAUACAACUGUCAUUCUCGGAGAUUUGGACUUUAAAGGUAGGUAGGUACAUGUGCUAGUAGUUAACAAACAAACACACACUUAACAGUAGUUCAAACGCAACAACUCAGAAACUUCAGUUUUGUGUCUUUAUCCCAUCCUCUCAACUCUCUCUAUAAAUAAGAUUUCAAGUGCAUGCAUGUCUAUCUAUAUUUCAACAUCACAAAUACAAAAGAAAGAAACUCAAAGCGACGGCCAUGGCAAAAGUUGGGGAUCUAGAGACAUGCAUCAAUAACAGAAUUAAAGAGAUCGAGGAGGAAGAAGAACGUAAUUUGAAGAUACUUAAGGAGUUGGAGACUCAGAUCAUGUCCCCAACGGAAAAAGGUCGUAGCCUUUGAUCACCUUUCUCAAACCGAUAUUGAUUAAAAAAUUCUUUCUUUUUUUUGAGAUUGAGAUUGAUAAUUUAAGAUUGAUAAUUUAGGUACGCAACAUCCGUCUACAAGUAUCAACAAGCCAAUUCUUGGGGAUGAUGUCCCAAAGGCUUCAGAUGUUGCACCCGAAGGGGGACCUUCUUUCCGCCCAAAGGGAAAGGGAAACAUGAAACCAUCUGAUGACGAUGAUGAGAAGAAGACCAAUGAAGGAAAGAGCAGCAAGUCUGGUGGUGUGGAUGAUGCCUAAUGAAGCAGCCGUCGAAUAAUAAAAUUAAUGUUGUCUUGAAAUAAAGUUGUUGUUGUGUCUUUCCAUGCUCAUUUCAUAUUCCUAGUGUUUGUUGUUUAAUUUGGUCAAGCGUCGGUCAUGUUUGUUGUUGUGUCUUAAACCUAAAUAAUGGAAUGUUUAUUUGCUAAUAUAUGGAAAACUAUGAUGCAUAUAUUAUUUGCUAAUUUCUUUUCACACACCUCUUUACUUGAUAUUACGUUGUGAGGGAUAUACAUAGCAUAACCUAAUGGAGUUCCUUCUGCGCCUGUUAACAGACACAUCACUGUCUUUUUCGCCAUAUCUGAUCCUUCUUCCAGCUCCAUGUUAGACGACAAACUCCGAUUGAAAAUAGACAAAAAGCUUGCGAUAUAGACCUUAUGAAAGUGUUAUUAAAAAUUAGUUAUACAUUGGUGAUGAAAUAUAUUUUGAAUAUUCAUUUCACAAAGAAAUAAACUAUUGAAAACAUGUUGCUUCAUUGUCUGAAAAAGUCAAAUUUUGAAGAAAAAAAAGACUAAUCAUUAGAGACCUCUAAAAUCCCAAUUGUCAACCAAAUGAAACUAACCUUAGGCCGUUAAUGAUUUAACCACAACGUUAACACGCAUGCAUGUAACCACAACGUUAAUGGUUAACAACAAGCUUACAACAACCUUAAUAAAGUGGCGAGACUUACAUCAAAGACACAAAAUCUAGAAAUGAUUGGAACUUGACUUGAAAAGAUCCAAACGCAUAAGGUUCUUCUUGUUAAUAAACAUGAACCAUUUAGAUUUUCAAUAUACUAAUACAAACUAAGACAAAUAUCUUCUCCAAUCACCACCCCAAAUCAUUACCAAACGCACAACUGUAACUAAGCAAGAAGUACAUUAGGACCAAUCUCUUAAUCGUUGUCACGGAUUGGUCGCGUGUCAAUCAAGAUCAUCAAGAUCACUUUUAUGUCUUAGUGCUUCUUCUUCUUCUUCUUCUUGUUAUUAUUAUAUUUUGGUUUCUUGAGCAAAAAGUGUUAUGUUGUGAUCUUCAUUUGCCUUAGAGACAGAUAAGCUAGGAGGCGGUAACCGAAGAUCAUGGCAACGAGUGCAACCACUUCAGUCAGUCCAUUGUCUAUUCUCAUCCCGUUGAUAGAUUGAGCAAAGUCUUUAUACUGCACUUUAAGAAGAAGCUUGUAGGUGUGGUAAUUGAAGGAUAGGUAACGUAUCCAGGAGAUGAACACCGGUACUUUCUGAAGGACACAAAACAAAAGAGCUCAGAAACAGAGGAAAUCAAGAAACAAAGGAAAUCAAGAAACAGAGAACUUACCUUAACAAAGAAUCCUCCUGCGAGCAUAAAUGUCAUGACAGUAACUGAAGCCAAAGUCGUAGCCUUCUUUAAGUCCAUUAAGAUUGCUCCAAUAGCAAGUCCAAGUCCCUAGCAAAGAGUAAACAUAACUCAAACUCACCAUUUUGAUCUUACUUUCCCAUUAUAGAAAUGUGUUUUUUGGUCAAUCAGAACAUACCUGAGAUGCAAUGAUGCAAAGGAAGACCGUGAGCAUGCUCAAGAAGAAAGGAUACGGGCUAAGACGAAGACCAGUCAUGAAAUAGACCACGAGGAGGAAGAGAGAAGGCAGGAUAAAGUCUAGAGGGAGAUCACUCGUGGUCCUAGCCAAGAAAUACGCACUUAGUCUAUACAUAUCAGCUGCUCUCUCUUUAUUCAGCAUAGCUCGCUCUUGAGGGAACGCAAAGAUGGCUGUGAAAACAGGGAAGAACCCCCAGAAAACCGCUAUGAAGAAGAGCAAACCAGCCUGUAAACAACAAAAAAGAUCAUGUGAUAUUCAUGUUUCUUGAGGUACAAGGCAGAGAGGAGUGUGCAUCAAGAUACCUACCUGAUCUUGUAGUCCUCUUGGAGUGCGAAUAUCUGACUGCCACCAGAGAAGACCUAGAAUAACAGCUGUGGAUAAAACUUGUGUGACACGCAACCAGCUGAAGUAUUCGUGUCUGCGCUCUUUGAGUCCUCUAGAGAAGAGUAUGCAGUAUUGCUCCCACCAGCUCGCUCCCCAUUGUCUCUUUAGACGCAGAACUUUAGCUUUAGCUUCUUCGUCAAGUGGAACAGGAUCAGAUAGUUUCUUCUUCUCCUGUUCUGCAACCCUAGUCUCGUAUGCCUCCACCAGAUACUGCUUAGAAUGUUCCAAUAUAUAUUAAAACUCAUUUUGUUCCUUUUUAAUGAAUUUUAAAUUUAUUCACAUAAAAAAAACCUUGUUACAAUAGAUGUAUUGUUUGCUAAAGAAUUUAGAAAAAAGAGUUCUUUAAGUUUUUUGAAUGAAUUUUUUUACAUCUUUCAUUAUUGUUUGCUAAAGAAUUUAGAAAAAAAAUAAUCUUUAAUAUAAUUUUUUGAAUGAAUUUUUUUACAUAUUUGAUUAAUUUUUUAUGAAAGAGUAGUCUCUCUAUUUUAUUUUUUUAAACUCAAUUUGGUUUUCAGACAAUCUUAAGUUGUUGUUUGUGUGAUUACCUCAUGGACAGCAGCAGGAGAUGGCUUGCCAGUUUGAGGUUCUCUGCCUGAGUUUCCUACUUGAACUCUAUCUUCCAAAUCAGAAGGCACAGAGAUGUCGUUGAUGUUACCGUUGGCGAGAUCAAGCAAGAACUCAGCAGGGUUCAUGGUGAUAAGAGGAGAGCAACCAAUGGAAGAAAAGUAAACAAGAGCUUCUGAUGAUUUCCCAAAAUAGAGAAGGUUUCCUCUUCCUAAUAGAAUCAGCUUAUCGAAUCUAUGGAAGAGUCUACUAGAUGGCUGAUGUAUCGUUGUGAUCACUGUCUUCCCCGCCUGUUCCAAACACACAUCAAGAUUCAGACAACCAUCAAAGAGAGUAGUAGAGAGAUACAAAGUGUCUGAAACAAGCAAACCUCAGCGAUGUCGUGGAGCAUCUGGAUGGUUCUUAGAGCAGUGGUGGAGUCUAAACCGGAAGUUGGUUCAUCAAGAAGUAAUAGAGAAGGGUUAAUGAUGAUCUCGUUUCCAAUGGAAACUCUUUUCCUCUCUCCACCUGAUACACCUCUCACGAAUGCUCCACCAAUCAUAGUGUCUUGACACCUCUCCAGACCUAGCUCUUGGAUAACUUCAAUAGCACGCUGCUCCUUUUGCUCCCUUGUGAGAGUUUUAGGUAGACGCAAACGAGCAGCGUAGGUUAGCGUUUCUUUAACCGUAAGAUGAGGAAACAGAACAUCGUCUUGAGUCACAAACCCAAU
rnacentral:lncRNA from 1 species